rnacentral:misc_RNA from 1 species
CAGUGCACCAGCACACACGCACGUUCUUUCCUUUCAUCCCUCUUGCUCUCUCGCUCUGCUGUCCUCCUUAGCAGGCUCCCCCUGCAGCGCUACAGCAGCCGCAUGACCGAAUUUCAACGACUCGGCAUCCAGCGCUGGCUCUCAGAGCAGUGCACGUACAUGGCGCUGGAGACCCCAACUCCGAUUCAAUGCAAGUGCAUCCCGGCCAUCCUGGCCGGCCGCCACGUCGUCGGCGGUGCCGCGACCGGCUCGGGUAAGACGGCCGCCUUUGCCCUUCCCAUUCUACAGGCCCUCGCGGCCGACGCAUACGGCGUCUUUGCCCUUGUGCUGACGCCGUCCAGGGAGUUGGCGUACCAGAUCAUUGACCAGUUUAUUGCCUUCGGCGCGCCGCUGCGGGUGCGCACGAUGCUUGCUGUUGGCGGGGUGCCGACGGAAACGCAAGUGGACGCGCUGAAGGCACGGCCGCACAUCGUCGCAGCGACGCCCGGACGGCUCCGCCACCUGCUGGGGGUAUUCGCGCCGGAGGUGAAGAAGGCGUUCGCCCAUCUACGCUACCUGGUGCUGGACGAGGCGGACCGGCUGACAGAGGGCGAUAUUCUGCGAGAUGUCCAGUCGCUGAUACGGCUGCUCCCGCCAACGCGGCAGCGACAGGUGCUGAUGUUCACAGCAACGCUGCACCCUCGGCUCACCACGCUGGAGGCUCCGCAGGCGGAGCAGGGCUUACCGGCAAGCAGUGGUGCGGCAGGGGAGCGUGAAGGUCAAAACCUUGCUUCAUCGCAUUCACCGCCGCUGCAGCAGCCGCAGAACGGAGAGGUGGACGAAGCCGCAGAGCACUUCUCCCUGCUGGCAGAGCUCGGCAUCACGGAUGCAUCAACCUUGGAGGUGGCGGUGGUGCAAGGAGCCAUACAGGAAGGUCUCGGCCACGCCGCGGAAAGCGGAAGCACAGGUGCUGCUGGUGGGCCAAUCAGCUCCGCGACGGCACCGACGCUUCCAGGAAGACCGACGUCGUUCCACCUACCAGCGACGCUCACACAAAACUACCUGUUCAUCCCGAACAUGGUGAAACUGCCGUACCUCGUGGCGGCGCUGCGCUUGCAGGGCAAAGAGCAAUCCACCAUCGUCUACGUCAACUCCUGCCUGCGGGCAGAGCUGGUGCGGCUGACGCUGCAGCUGCUCGGCUUCCCAGUAUGCAGCCUGGAUUCGCUCCUGACACAGCAACACCGGCUUGAUAGCGUGGCCAGCUUCAAGUUAGGCAUCGCGCGCAUUCUUGUCUGCACCGACAUUGCGGCUCGCGGGCUCGAUAUCCCGGCCGUCAGCCUGGUGCUCCACUACGACGUGCCCAAGCACGCGGAGACGUACGUGCAUCGUGUGGGCCGUACCGCGCGUGCCGGCCGCGAGGGCACUUCUGUCGCGCUCGUCACCGAGUACGACGUGAGUCUCGUGCAGCGCAUCGAGAAGAAGAUCGGCGCCACGCUCACCCUGUGGAAGUCGCCAGCGGCGAAGGAGUCCGCGAUUCUGUCGCUGCUGGACGAGGUGUCGUCCGCCAAGAUCCAGGCGAGGCAGCAGGUGACAGAGCAGUUUGGUGCUCGUGUGCAGACGAACAAGGUGCACGCGGCCCGCAAAAAAGCGGCUGCGGCGGCCGCGCGCUCUGCACGCUCCCCACGGCAGCGGCAGCAGCAGCAGGAGCAGCGCUUGCCCAGCGCAGAACCGAACGCUACUGCUAGCAUGGCUGGCACGGCAUCGCCCACCUCGCUCAGCGGGUUGAAGCGCGCUCGCAGGUCUGCCGCCACUGCCGAAGAUGCACCCACCCAAGCAGGCGUCGUCGCGAAGAAGGCAAAGAAGGGCGCCGCGGUGCGCGGCUUGGCUGCCGACGCCACCGCAUCGCGGAGGAGCGCAACGCAGCAGCGGCCGGCCAAGAAGAGCGCGACCGGCGAGUCAGACCACAGUCCGGCUCGCAAGCGUGUAAAGGAGGCUGCAUAGCACCUUCACGGCAUGCACCGAGGCGCCCACGCAUCGCGAGGGGGCGGGAGAGAGGAAGACCGAGGGGAAGGAAAGUGCGGGCAUAGGUGCAGGGGGAGGGGAGGGCAGAAUCGCUGCAGAGAAGACAUUUUGCCGCCUCCCCCCCCCUCUCUCAUGUCUGUGUGUGUGUGUGUGUGUGUGUGUGUGUGUGAUGUUGCUAGGCAUUCUACGAGUAACCGUUAAACCUUUGUAUGGCAGUACAAGCGCCGUGGGUGUAUAGAUACAUGCAUGUGUACGUGUGUGUGUGUGUGCAUCGCACGGACACAGAUGCGCACAUGUACACACCUCUGCUCCUUCCCCCUCCCCUGCGCUGGUGAUACACAUAGGAAGAUGUGACGUGUGCUCGGUGAAGAUGGAGAGGGGAGAGGUGGUGUGGGCCAUCGUCAUACCCCAUCCCCAUCCUCGACACCCUCCCUUCUCUCCCACCUCCCUCGUG